rnacentral:rRNA from 1 species
CGAACGGGUGAGUAACGCGUGAGGAACCUGCCUCAAAGAGGGGGACAACAGUUGGAAACGACUGCUAAUACCGCAUAAGCCCACGGUGCCGCAUGGCACAGAGGGAAAAGGAGCGAUCCGCUUUGAGAUGGCCUCGCGUCCGAUUAGCUAGUUGGUGAGGUAACGGCCCACCAAGGCAACGAUCGGUAGCCGGACUGAGAGGUUGAACGGCCACAUUGGGACUGAGACACGGCCCAGACUCCUACGGGAGGCAGCAUG